CGCGUCCCCCGCAUCGGCAGGCGGACUCCCAACCACUGUGCCACCAGGGUGGAAGAGUGGCAGUGAGAGGGAAAAGAUGACCUGAGCAGACUGGCAGAAGCUAGGGGAGGCACGGCAGCCCCAGCCAGCUCUGGACCACGUUCCAGUCCCAGGGAAAAAGCAGGGACCAGGCGGGCACACUGACCAUAAACACGGGGAACCUACAGCUUAGUGCACACCUGGGUCAAUCCCACCAUCUGGGGGCCAGAUGUGGGUGCAGCAGGCAAAUUCCAAGCCCACUAAUAAGCAAAGAACUCCCAAUAAUGCCACGUGUAGCCUUCGGAGGCUCAGGACUGAGAAAUGCAGAAUGAUCAAGUGCUUGGCCGUUGUUCCAGAGGCCAGACAGGAUUGACGCCAGCAGGAACUGACAUGUCUGCAUGUUGUUGGCUGAGGACCCCAAAAGCCCAAGGUAGGGGUAAGGGCUCAUUAGGAGGCAGGGGCCUAACUGGAUUCUGUUUACUCUUAACUGGUUAAGUUUGCAUUGCCAGAUUAAGUUACUGAUUAAGCCCACAGAUGUACCCCUAGCCCCCCCACACACACAUUUUUUUGUCUUCUAUUCUCUAUUUGUAAUUCUUUCUGGCUGUCGCUGCUCCUCUCCUGGUUUUAUGCCAUUAUGAUGUGUGGAAAACAUCAGAAGACCUCUCUACAGUGUCUUAAAAUGCCUGAGUACAAAGAUGAACAAAAAAUCUAUCAAAGCUGGUUUUGGACUCAAUACUGUGAUGUGUCAUUUCCAAAGGUCAGAAAGCUGAGUGCUAAAGUGACCAAGUUUCCAAGCCCUCUGGAUUUGCCAUCUUUUGGCAUUUCCAUAAGUUUUCUGGCCCCUAAAGGAAUCGCUGAUUUCUCUUUCCUGACUGUCUUUUAAUCUCAGCUGUCCUGAGCAGAGCUUCCCCAAUUCUGGACAGGACCAGCUGUUCAGCCCUCUCCUCUCUGGGGCUCCUGAGUUUUCUUCCUCUGUAUGCGGAGAUGUACAGUUCAGAAGGUCAGCCAGGGGUUGGUGUGACGGAUCCAGCCAAGGGCUCUGCUCAGUUUCCACCAUGCGGCUCAGAAACAAAGCAGCCACGACGAGUAUUGCCAAGACCAUGUGCUGGGAGCCAGGAGUAGAUGAAUUCCCGGUGUGAGUAAGGAAAACAGCACCCGAGUUUGCUGCGACUGUGAUUAACAUUCAGGAUUCCUCCGGUAGAAGGCCCCUCCUGAGAAACCAUAACAUUUGCAGAAGUGGAUUCAAGCAAACCCCAGUGGUUUUCAAUCUCAGUCUCUUUCUCUCGCAGGCCC